rnacentral:tRNA from 1 species
AAUGAGAUGCCUGAAAAAAGGGUUAUUUUGAUAGAAUAAAUCAUGCACAUCGUGCUCUCAUUA